GAUGAAGAACGCAGCGAAAUGCGAUAAGUAAUGUGAAUUGCAGAAUUCAGUGAAUCAUCGAAUCUUUGAACGCACAUUGCGCCCCUUGGUAUUCCGAGGGGCACGCCUGUUCGAGCGUCAUUACACCACUCAAGCACUGCUUGGUAUUGGGCAUCGUCCGUCGAAAGGCGGGCGUGCCUCGAAGACCUCGGCGGGGUUUCUCCAACUUCGGGCGUAGUAGAGUUAAAUCGAACGUCUUAUAAGCUUGGUGGGACUCCAUUGCCGUUAAACCUUUUAUUUUCUAGGUUGACCUCGGAUCAGGUAGGGAUACCCGCUGAACUUAAGCAUAUCAAUAAGCGGAGGA
rnacentral:misc_RNA from 1 species